rnacentral:rRNA from 1 species
AACGAACGCUGGCGGCGCGCUUAACACAUGCAAGUCGGACGCCCUGUGGCAACACAGGGAGUGGCGAACGGGUGCGUAACACGUGGGUAAUCUGCCUCGGAGACCGGGAUAACUCGCCGAAAGGCGAGCUAAUACCGGGAGAGCCCACGGGACCUUGGGGUCCUGAGGGAAAAGGGUCGCAAGACCGCUUCGAGAUGAGCCCGCGGCCCAUCAGCUAGUUGGCGGGGUAAAGGCCCACCAAGGCAAAGACGGGUAGCUGGUCUGAGAGGACGACCAGCCACACUGGAACUGAGACACGGUCCAGACUCCUACGGGAGGCAGCAGUGGGGAAUCUUGCGCAGUGGGCGAAAGCCUGACGCAGCGACGCCGCGUGUGCGAUGAAGGUCUUCGGAUCGUAAAGCACUGUCGCCAGGGAAAAACCGAAGGGUGAUGGUACCUGGAAAGGAAGCACCGGCUAACUCUGUGCCAGCAGCCGCGGUAAUACAGAGGGUGCGAGCGUUGUUCGGAAUU